rnacentral:rRNA from 1 species
AGUGAACGCUGGCGGUAGGCCUAACACAUGCAAGUCGAACGGCAGCACAGUAAGAGCUUGCUCUUACGGGUGGCGAGUGGCGGACGGGUGAGGAAUACAUCGGAAUCUACUUUUUCGUGGGGGAUAACGUAGGGAAACUUACGCUAAUACCGCAUACGACCUACGGGUGAAAGCAGGGGAUCUUCGGACCUUGCGCGAUUGAAUGAGCCGAUGUCGGAUUAGCUAGUUGGCGGGGUAAAGGCCCACCAAGGCGACGAUCCGUAGCUGGUCUGAGAGGAUGAUCAGCCCCACUGGAACUGAGACACGGUCCAGACUCCUACGGGAGGCAGCAGUGGGGAAUAUUGGACAAUGGGCGCAAGCCUGAUCCAGCCAUACCGCGUGGGUGAAGAAGGCCUUCGAGUUGUAAAGCCCUUUUGUUGGGAAAGAAAAGCAGCAGGUUAAUACCCCGCUGUUCUGACGGUACCCAAAGAAUAAGCACCGGCUAACUUCGUG